GAUGAACGCUGGCGGCGUGCCUACUACAUGCAAGUCGAGCGAACAGACGAGGAGCUUGCUCCUCUGACGUUAGCGGCGGACGGGUGAGUAACACGUGGAUAACCUACCUAUAAGACUGGGAUAACUUCGGGAAACCGGAGCUAACACCGGAUAAUAUAUUGAACCGCAUGGUUCAAUAGUGAAAGACGGUUUUGCUGUCACUUAUAGAUGGAUCCGCGCCGCAUUAGCUAGUUGGUAAGGUAACGGCUUACCAAGGCAACGAUGCGUAGCCGACCUGAGAGGGUGAUCGGCCACACUGGAACUGAGACACGGUCCAGACUCCUACGGGAGGCAGCAGUAGGGAAUCUUCCGCAAUGGGCGAAAGCCUGACGGAGCAACGCCGCGUGAGUGAUGAAGGUCUUCGGAUCGUAAAACUCUGUUAUUAGGGAAGAACAAAUGUGUAAGUAACUAUGCACGUCUUGACGGUACCUAAUCAGAAAGCCACGGCUAACUACGUG
rnacentral:rRNA from 1 species